rnacentral:rRNA from 1 species
UACGGGGGGGCAAGCGUUGUUCGGAAUUACUGGGCGUAAAGGGCUCGUAGGUGGCCAACUAAGUCAGACGUGAAAUCCCUCGGCUUAACCUGGGAACUGCAUCCGAUACUGGAUGGCUUGAAUCCGGGAGAGGGAUGCAGAAUUCCAGGUGUAGCGGUGAAAUGCGUAGAUAUCUGGAGGAACACCGGUGGCGAAGGCGGCAUCCUGGACCAUUACUGACACUGAAAAGCGAAAGCCAGGGGAGCAAACGGG